UACAGAGGUCUCAAGCGUUGUUCGGAUUCAUUGGGCGUAAAGGGUGCGUAGGUGGCGGGGCCAGUCAGGUGUGAAAUCCCGGGGCUAACCCUGGAACUGCAUUUGAUACUGCCUUGCUGGAGAACUGGAGAGGAGACUGGAAUUUACGGUGUAGCAGUGAAAUGCGUAGAGAUGUGGAGGAACACCGAUGGCGAAGGCAGCCCCCCUGGGUCAAGAUUGACGCUCAUGCACGAAAGCGUGGGGAGCAAACAGG
rnacentral:rRNA from 1 species